UACUGGGUCUUGUUGGAUUUGCGCUCCAAUGCUUUGUUGUUCUUGCAUGGCCUCUCUUUGCUCUGGUCUAUCCUCUGUAUUCUUCCAUUAGAGCAAUCGAGGCAAAUUCCAUUACAGAUACUCACAAGAUAAAUACGUAUUGGGUCAUCUUCUCAUUGAUCUUGCUAUUUG